UGUCAUAGUGGGACAUGACACCUUAGUGAUCAGAAUGAAUAAGGAAGUGGUGCAGGCACCCCUGAAGCUUACAGAAGAUAUAGGUGGCAAGGGAUUACAGUAUCCUCUUUGUGUAAGUGGACAGAAAGGCAAGUGCUGUGGUAGCGCAUAAUAAAGGUAGAAGACGAAAAGAUUAAAAUCUGUCCUGGAGCUUACUCUAUGUAGUGAGUCUGCGCUGACCUCAAUCUCUGAGCACCAUCCAUAGAAGACUGAACAGAGAUGAACCCUGAGAGCACUUUGGAUCAGAAUACUGACUUCCAGGAAACACUCCCAAAGAGAAUGACCUUUAUCUCCUUUGAUUCCUUUGAUCCCCAUCAUCAGAAGUUUUCAGCCUGAUGUCUGGGAUCAGGUGCUUGAACUAGCCAAUUCUCAUGGGGGGGACAUGAGAAGUGGAAGCAAGGAGGAAUUCUGAGCUUACCAGGAAGGAUCAAGGGCCAGCCUGACACUCAGCCAGGAUGGUACCCUCUUUCGGAGAGAGACUAGAACACCGAGACCUUGACAUUCCAUUCCCAAGAGAUGAUGCCUGUAAGUUAUAAGAAAAAGAAAAAGUACACGCUAUUCUUCAGUGCCCACUGUCUGCCUUGCCAGCAGAGUUGUUUUGUGCUUGCUUCUUUGCUCUCAUCCCCACCUUGAAGAAGAGAGGAAAAUCUGUCCCUGGCUGGCAUGACUGCGAGAGGCCAGAGACAUGUCACAUCCACACUAGCCCGUGAAGGGUCUCUUUAGUCAGCCUCACUUCACCGGGAGACGAUUGGACAGUGGCAGAUAAACAAGUGGGGAAAGAUUCCAGAAGAAAGUUUGUUCAUGAACUAAGAGUCAGUGUAGAUCGUAAUCCAGGAUAACCUAAAACAGAAAAUGAAGAGAUAGGUCAAACCAAUACCAAAUGCAAGUGCAAGUGAUGUGAAUUAAUCUGCAUCCUGUUUAAAAAAAAAAAAUUAAAGUUUGGCUUUAAGGUCCUCCAAGUACAUACUAUCUGAACAACAGCAAGGUGACAGAAAGACUAGACAAGAUGGCGGAGGUCACACGAGUGCUGGGAAAUGAAGAAGGGCUUCAAGCUGCUCCUCCGAUUUUAAAGCCAAGCAAUGUGCCUAGCACUGUGCUGCUGUGAGCCAGACAAUGACCUUCCCCCGGAGCAAUUAAAAGAUGUUUUCAAAGUUGUUUUUUAAACCGUUCAAAUGUGCUUUCUCUCAUGCCUGUCUUUACGUGGACGGACAUGUGCCAAGCCAGUGACAUUGUAAGCGUAUAUGGAAGGGGAAAGCGGUGACAAUUGU
rnacentral:lncRNA from 1 species